rnacentral:rRNA from 1 species
GACGAACGCUGGCGGCGUGCCUAACACAUGCAAGUCGAACGGAAAGGUCCUGCUUUGGUGGGGAGCUCGAGUGGCGAACGGGUGAGUAACAUGUGAGUUACCUGUCACUGACUUUGGGCUAAAUUCAGGAAACUGGGGCUCAUACUGGAAAGGUGCUACUGCUGCAUGGUGGGGGUUGGAAAGAUUCGGCGGUUGGGGAUGGGCUGGCUGGUUAUCUGCUUGUUGGUGGGGUAGUUGCUUACCACGGCUUUGACGAGUAGCUGGCCUGAGAGGGUGACCGGCCUCAGUAGGACUGUAAUACGGCACGGACUCCUGCGGGAGGCAGCAGAGGGGAAGGUUGCACGAUGGACGGAAGCCUGGUGCAGCAACGCCGCGUGCGGGAUGACAGCCUUCGGGUUGUAGGCCACUUUCGCCUCUGACGGAACGUGAGUGACGGUAAUUUGUGAAGAAGCACCGGCUAACUACGUG